rnacentral:lncRNA from 1 species
AGUCACAAAGUGGUGUGUGCUGGAUAUUAAAAACUGUCAUGCUAACAGUAUUGUGGAGUUUUAUUUUUAUGAAUUUGCAUUAUCUUAUUUUUUAUGUCAUAAAGGAAAAAUUUCUAUAAAAUUUUGUGUCUAUACACAAAACAGUGCUAGGAGUUGAUUUUUUUAUAACUUUCCUGCUGCCUCCUCUAUUUUCUAAAUAAAUUAACCUUUUCGCCCAGUCCCAGGCUGCCUGUGGAAUUCUGUGGCUAUUUUAUGUGGCCUUCAAUCCAUUUUACGUGUGUCCAUCUGCCUCACUUCACUCCUUUCUUCUUCUCAAAUGAGCUUCCCAUAAACUUCCGUCACAGAGUGUUCCCCUCUCGUGUGUCCAUCCCAGAAUCUCUCUUCCUCCAGCAAGGACAGCAGUUGUGUUGGCUUAGGGCCACCGUAAUGACCUCAUCUGAAGCUUGCUUACAUCUGCAAAGACCCUCUUUCCAAGUAAGUUUGCAUUCACAAGUGCGGGGGCUUCAGCGUGGGCUUCCAUAAAUGUUUUUUGGGGGGAAGGGAAGGGAGCAGGGGACACACAAUUCAGUCCCAAACCCUCUCUAUCUUAUUUCUCCAACUUCCAAACAGGUGUGGGGGAUGGGAGAAGCUGUUCAACCAGGAUGUGCUCUGAGGUCCCCUUUGGCUCACAGAGUCUGAGGCAGCGGAUGUCCACUGUUCCACGUUCAGACAUUAGGUGGCCUUGAGUAACUGAAAAACCCAAGAGAGACAUGAUGAGAAGGAGGCUCUAGGUCGUUAUACAACAGAUAAGGAACGUGGCCUUUGGAAACAUGAUUCACCUCCAUGCUUGGCAUAGCAGGCUGUUUUAUUUUGCUCGUCACAGUGAUUUUCUUUGUCCUCGUUUUUAUUUAUCUGGAUGAUGGUUGGUCAAAAGUUUUCUAAGCUGAAUUCCCAUCUUACUACCCAUAACAUUACAUAAAAUGAGAUGCUAGAGUUAAAAAAAAAUAAUUGUCACAUCACAACUGAUUUUAGAUGUUGGCAGGGCUGCCAGCUGGAGCAGAUUCACAAGGAAAAUCGACUCCUCUCUGUCCUUCAAGCUAAAAAAAGGCGAGAUAAGAAGAGAGGGCGCUCUGUGAUGAAUAAGGGUGGCUGUGCCUCCAUGGGUGGCUGGAGGAGGAGACCCUUUGAGGCCCUGGGGGUGGGUUGGGGGGGAUUGCAAGCGGGGGAGGCCGGGGGUGGGGUACUGUAGCAUAAAGGGGGAUGAGAACUGUCUAUACUCUCUCCUGAUGUCCCAGUGCUUCAAAGAGAAAACCGUGUCAAAGCCAGGGGAGGGGAAGCACUGAACACCAAGCUGAAUAGAGGACAUUUUCCCAGAGCUCCAGUCUCAGCGUGACAUGUGUACAAAGAUGCAUCUCCCUCCCUCCCGCUACCCCCUCCGCCUGACCUAAGGUGGACACUAGACAGAUAAGCCGGGGCAGGGCAGUGUCCCCUCUAGAAAUCUCUGACUUGUGGGCAGGAAGCGAAAGCUCCAGGAAAAUGGAAUCUUCUCACAGCUGUGGUGCAGUGAGUUAAGUAAGGAUCUGGUGGUGUCAUUGCAGUGGCUUGGGUUGCUGCUGUGGCGUGGGUUCGAACCCUGGACCAGGAUCUCCCACUUGCUAUGGGUAUGGCAAAAAAAUUAAAUAGUGCUAUUUUUUCCCUGAAUCUCAGAAAUUAUUUAGCUAAACAAUGGAUGAUUUCAUUAUAAUGUUCUCAUUACGAAAGCCUAUUCUGUUACUUGCUGCCAAUGCUAGGUGAAAACACUGGGAAUUCACACUGGGUCAUUAUUAUUCUGGUCUUUCUUUGCCAUUCUUUCAGCAGUAGGAGUUAUGGAUUUGUCAGCGUUUCCAUUAUUACCUCUUAUUUUCAAGGCUGCUGUCUUAGUUGCUGAAAUUGCAUUGUACUGGAUGGAAGCCUAGAGGUAAUUUCCUUUCGUAUUAUAGCAGCUGCAUUCUUUUAUGGUUGUGUGUGACUCUGCAAGUGAUUUCAAUAUCUUUUUAUUAAAAAAUUAAUUCAUGCAUAAGUCUCAAUUCUCUCUUUUUUUUAAGUGCAUAUAGCUCUUAUCCAAGAUUGAGGUAUGAAUCAUGUGAGGGAAACAUUUAUGAAGAGUCCACAAUGCAGGAAAGGGGGAGCAACAAAACAAGCCAUGGCAAGAAAGCAAUGAGAUCCAUGGGGCGAUAAUCAGUCAUACUUCUUUAUUGGUCACACAUUGUGUGUCUCUGAGAUUUACAAUAUACAACAGAAGGGAGAGAAGAUAUGGUAUUAAAUUAUAAAUUUAAAAUUAUAUGUAUUCCCCUUGCUAUAGACAUUGGGAUCAUCUCAUCAAAUCUUAGAAUUUCAGUAUCUGAAGACCUUAGGUCUUUUUUAUCCAUUAAUUGUGGGUGUUUAUUCCAUCAAUUCCAUAUUCCCUCUUCUGCCCUCCCAAUAAUAGAUCAGUUAUCUAUUGCUGCAUAACAACCCCCAAACUUAGGGGCUUGUUGUUGUUAAAAAGAUAAUCAUUGAGUAGUUCACGAUUCUGGGGGUUGGCAAUUUGAACUGAGCUCAGCCCGCUGGUUCUUCUGCUGGUCCUGACUGGCUCAUGUCUGGUGGUUGGCUAUGAUGCAGAGGCAACUGUGCCAUGCCUGUAACAUCCAACAGGCUACCCCAGGCUUUUCACUGACCACUGAGUCCCAAAAGCAGCAAAAAAGAGCAGAUCCCAACUCACAAACUCCUUUUAAGCAUCUGUUUGUGUCACACUUGCUAAUGUGCCCUUAGCCAAAGCAACUUCAUAUGCAAAGAAGUUAAGAGAUAAGACUCAUCUCUCAGUGGAAAAGACAAGAACAUAAAAAGAAGUAGGAAUCCAUUUUUGUUUGUUUGUUUGUUUUGGCUACACCUGGGGCAUGCAGAAGUUCCCAGGCCAGGAAUCAAACAUAUGCCCAAGCAGUGACAAUGCUGGUUCCUUAAGCUGCUGGGCUACCAGGGAACUGCUGUUUCUUUUUUUUUGGAAACGAGGAUGCUAUCCUGAUAGCUUCAGCUGAGAUCUCCCUAGUAUCCAGUCUUGCCUGAGAAGAAACAGAUGGGGAGACAGUUAUGGGCCAUACGUGAAGGACCAGAAAAUCUCCUAAGGAAAGUGACAAUUCAUCUAAGGAAAGAGAGAUGAGAGUCACAAGAUUGUCCACGGUCAUUAAGUCAGUGAUGGGGGCAGGCUACAUCUCACCACAGCCCUUGUCUGGCCUUCAGGUGGCCCAAUCCUGCCCCAUGAUUUAGAUUCAAGCCUUGAGGAGAAGAGGCUACAGUAACAAGAACAAAACAGAAUUUCAGUGCAGUUUCUGGGGAAGACAUUGGAAUUUAGAGGGUGAAGGGAGCUUCCUUAUUUGGAUCUUCUCUGGGGAUGGGGGGGAGUUGGGCUGAAUCCAGUCUGCUUCUGGACCAGAGUUGAUGUGGGAGAGGAAAUUGGCCUGUGGCAGCAAACAGGCUAUGAUGGACUGCCCAGGAGAACUCACAGCCUCAGCCGUUCAAAGCAGGCCAUGGGGUCUGCUCCCAAGGGCACACAAAACAUCCUCUAUGAACGGGAGGACAUUGAGGGAACUCAGGGCUUGUACCCACGUUCAAGUCAUAGCUCCUGUUUUGUUUUGUUUUCUUUUCACUUUGUUUAUUUUGUUUCUUUUUACAGCCACGCCUGUGGCAUAUGGAAGUUCCCAGGCUAGGGGUCAAAUCGGAGGUGCAGCUGCAGGCCUAUGCCACCGUUACAGCAACAGAAGAUCCGAGCCCCAUCUGCAGUCUACACUGCUGCUUGUGUCAACAGCAGAUCCUUAACUAACUGAGAGAAACCAGGGAUUGAACCCGCAUCCUCCCAACAUUAUGUCAGGUUCUUAACCUGCUGAGCCACAGUGGGAACGCCCAUAGCUCCUGUUUUUAAGCCAGAGUGUGAGUAUGUGUGUGUGUGUCAGUGAUGAGGUAUAGGUAGUAACUGACAUAUAAAGGAAAAGUGCUAGAGAAGGGGAUCUGGGAGCCCCGGAUCAGAGAGAGGCUUCAGGGAAGGGAUAAGACCAAGGGUGGAUCUGCAAAUAUGGGAGGACUUGUGUGAGGGUUAAGAUGAAAAAUAUUCCAAAGGGUAAUCAGAGUAGUCUACCCACGAGGGUAGUUAAUACUUUACUGAGAAACCUACUCUUUUACUAGAAAUUUCUUUGUCUUAGCUCAUGGUGGUGGAGACAUGAGAGAAAUUGUAGGAUCAGGAAUUUGGGAGGAAGAAUGUUCCCAGAUACCUCUGGAAUCUCAAUAUUUAUAACCACUAGGAAAAUGAGGUUACUUUAGCAAUGGCAUUGGUGAACUACUUCUGGAGAAUAAAUGAGUGGGGUGCAUGUGUGUGUGUGUGUAAAAUACGGGCAGGAGGAAGCAGAAAGAACAUAGAAGUCUUAUAUAAAAUGAUGACCGACAUAUAACACAUUUAUUAAUAUGUAUUUAUUAUAUAUAUUUAUACGGGAAGACUCCUGCAAGUAUUAAUAUGUACUCUAUCUUGUUGCAAAAGAAAGGGUAAUUUAAAUUAAUACAUCUAUAUAUUAUACAUUAUAUAUUAUAUACAUAUAACUUGAAGGUACAUUUUAAAUAAGAAUGAAAUAAUUUUUCCAUGAAUUUUUUUUCACAUUGCUGUAUUAAUAGCUUUGUGUACAUGGGGCAGGUUGAAUGGCUCUUACUUCAUCUGACCUACAUAAAGAAAGCAGGUGUCUGGGAGUUCCCAUUGUGGCUCAGCAGGUUAAGAACUUGACAUAGUCUCCAUAAGGAUGCGGUUUGAUCCCUGGCCUUGCUCAGUGGGUUAAGGAUCUGGUGUUGCACUGAACUGCACAGUAGGUCAUAGAUGUGGCUCAGAUCCAGUGUUGCUGUGGGAUAGGCCUCAGCUGCUGUUCCAAUUUGACCCCAAGCUUGUGAACUUUCAUGUGCCGCAGGUUCGGCCAUAAAGAGGAAAAAAAAAAAAAAAUCAGCUGUCUGACUGUUGUGCAAGUUAGGUCCCUUCUGGGUCACCACCUAUGGUGCAUCAAGUUUGGAAUGAAUUCCACAAUAUCACCCAGUUGAGUUAAGGAACAGGCUUUAUUGGGGAAAGGUAAAACCUAUAAGGUGGAUCACACAGAAAGAGAGAACUGGGUUUCCCACCUCCUGUGGUCCCACAGAGAGACAGGCAAGGGAUUUCUGGAAGAAAUGUAGUGUGGAUUUACAUUUCAAUAGAGGAACUAUGUCCUUUCUUUGUCUCCUUUUUCCACAAGGCAAGUAUAAGAAAGCUGUCUUGUCAGUGGGGGAUACUCAGGCAGCUUGAUCCAAGCAGCCUGGAUUUGGAGGCCCAGCUGUUUACAGGGGUUGCUAGGAAAGCCAGCAGCCAGGCUCCAUAUGAUGCUGCACAGGAAGGACACCACCAGUCCCAUGGGAAGCUGAGCCUAAGUGUAGCACUGGGAGAAGGAAGUCUCUGGUCCCUGAUGGCUCAUUGUCCAGAAAAUCAGAGUGAACUUCCACAAUCAUUUCAGAUUAUUUUGCUCAUCCCACUACCCAUAAUGAGAAGUCUGCAGCCAGGAAGCCUGAAACUUGCUAUGGUGGCCUUAAAAAAUUCCCUUUACUGGUCUGACCCUAACUAGAGAUUCUAGUUCUCUAUUCUACCCUACUCUCUAGGUUGUUAGAGAGUCAAAUGAAAGUGACAAACAACUGAAAUGGGAGGCUGGCAAUAUAGCUAACAAUAUUUUUCAGCAACCUGGUUUUAGACAUUUAAUUAAAAUUAAAUCAUACAAGUGAAUGUUGGUAAUUUAGCCAAAAUGUGCCUUCCAAAAUGCAGCCCAGUAGCCAGUACAAAUUAUUCCCAUUCUUCCAAGGCUCCAAGUCCUCGAAUUCAGUAUAGUUAAAAAAUUAUACUCAGAAUAGUGAACUGGAGGAAUUUCAACAUCCUUGAUCAUCAAAAAGGAGGAAUGUGGACCAAAACACAGGGGAGAAAAAUUAGCCAAAUAUUUAAAUCAAAAACAAAAAUAAUCUCUAAUACCAUAGAUAAAAAUAAACUCAAAAUGAACUAAAGACCUAAAUAUAAGACCAGAUGCUAUAGAACUCUUAGAGGAAAACAUAGGCAGAACACUCUCUGACAUAAACCACACCAAUAUCUUCUCAGAUCCACCUCCUAAAGAAAUGAAAAUAAAAACAAAAAUAAAAAAAUGGGACCUAUUUAAACUUAGCACAGCAAAGAAACCAUAAACAAAAUGAAAAGACAAUCCACAGAAUGGGAGAAAAAUAUUUGCAAAUGAAGCAACUGACAAAAUAUAUGAACAACUCAUUUAGCUUGAUAUCAAAAAAUAACCCAAUCAAAAAAUGGGCGAAAGAUCUAAACAGAUCCAAAGAAGACAUACAGAUGGCAAAAAAAA